UUUUGCUAGGUUUUCUACCGAUUAAAACCUUCAUUCAUCAUAUCCGUCCAUUUCUACCGAUUGAUUCGGUUUUUAGACCGAUUAAACACCAUUCCAACCUUCGAUCUUCCAUCUCCACCGAUUAAAACACCAUUUCCACCGUUUAAUCGGUCCAAAUCAAGUUUCCUCCCUUUCUAGGGUUUCGCCGGUCUAGGUUACAAAUAUCUGAAAUUCCUUUCUCAAAUAUGAUUUGUUCUUCUCUGUUAUGCAUCUAUCUCGAUCACUCUGUCAAUUGUUCCCUCAUAUUAUAUUCCGCUGCAUAUUUCUCUCGUCGGAGAAGCUUGGAGGAGCUUUACCUGCUUUUGCGUUGUGCUAAUCGGUCAGCUCCUCAAGGCGUCCCGUAUCAUAGAGGAUCUCCACUCAAGGAUGUCGUCAUCUUCAAUGAGGGUGAAGAUUGUUGGGAAUAAGAGGAAAGAGCUAGAGAGGCCAAUAAGAUUCUAUUCUCAUAGGUUCCUUUCCAAGAAACUUGAGGAGCAUUAUGUGACUGUUCAAGAGAAAAAAAAGAAAGAAAGAAGUUGGGAAUGAGUGAGAUUGGUUAAAAAGAGAGUUUGUGCUUGAACUUUGAAUGUUAAAAUAACUCUCUUAACUCAAGGAUUUUAGCACGGUUUCGUCUGUCGCUGCCGAGUGUUGUCGUUUGAGGCGGUGGUCUUGCAUUUGAAACUGGGUAGGUUUCACACAUAGGUCUUGGUAAACACAUAAAAUUUAACUACAAAGCACAGAUGAGUAUAUUCUUUCUUCAUUCUUGAAUAACCCAAAGGAAGACGCGACUUUCUUCGUGUAUGGUUCUGUUCUAUAUGUCGCGACAUUAAUGAGCCAUGGCGAUGGAGGAACGAUUGAAUCGAUGUCUACUUUGGAUAGCAAGUUCAGAGUGCGAAGAAAGCCUUGGUCGAGAAUGUGAGGAAAAGUUAUGUCUUUUUAUCGAUGAAAAUUUUUCAGUUUUUUUACGUAUUACUGCACUUUAAAAUUGGUUAGUGGGUAGAAGCAGUUGCAAAAGCUGCAAUGUCAGUAUCGAACGAAGAUAUAAAAAUGGAUAAUGAUA
rnacentral:lncRNA from 1 species